rnacentral:rRNA from 1 species
UACGUAGGGCGCAAGCGUUAUCCGGAAUUAUUGGGCGUAAAGAGCUCGUAGGCGGUUUGUCGCGUCUGCCGUGAAAGUCCGGGGCUCAACUCCGGAUCUGCGGUGGGUACGGGCAGACUAGAGUGAUGUAGGGGAGACUGGAAUUCCUGGUGUAGCGGUGAAAUGCGCAGAUAUCAGGAGGAACGCCGGUGGCGAAGGCGGUUCUCUGGGCAUUACCUGACGCUGAGGAGCGAAAGUGUGGGGAGCGAACAGG